CAAGGAUGUAAUGUAUAGCACAGACAAUAUAACCAAUAUUUGAUAAUAACUUUAAAUGGAAUAUAGUCUAUAAAAAUAUUGAAUCACUAUGUUGUAUACCUGAAAUUAAUAUAACAUUGUAAAUCAACUAUACUUCAGUUUUAAAAAAGGAUGAUUAUAUCCAGAUAUGUUUGCUUAUUAUACUGAAUCUUUCUCGAGUCAGUAACUGAGAAAUUCUGAGAAUUCAAAGAAAUGUAUAGAAUAUGAAGUUGAAGGGGGACUAGAGAGUGACUACUUAAAGGGUAUAGGAUUUCCUUUAGGGGUGAUUUAAAUGUUCUAAAAUUGACUGUGGUAAUGGUUGCACUACUCUGUGAAUAGACCAAAACCAUUGAAUUUUACACAUUAAAUGUGUGAAUUGUAUUGUGAGUUAUAUCUCAGUAAAGCUGUUUUAAAAAGUCCAUCCACAGCCCCGUCCUCAGUCCCAGCUAAGGCUGCAAGCCCAGACUCAGACCCAGACUCAAUCACAGAGUGUCACUCUUGAUUAGUGUACGUAGAUUAUGGUAACUCCACUUUCUUUGGUCAGCAAUUGGCUAAGGAAAACUCAUGCGACCCAAUUUUAGCCAAUAGGAUGUAAGGGAAUGGUUUCUUGAGGAUAAAAGGAUGAGAAAGAUUUCUUAGCACUUAGAGACUUACAAGAAACAAAUAAUUCUUUUUUCUGCCCCUUUCUGCAUUGUUGUAUGACGAUGUGAUACCUGGAGCUGUUGCAGCCAUAUUGAUAUUACAAGGGGCAAAUUACUCUACAUAUUGUGGAUGGAAGAGCAGGAAAUAAAAUGAUGUCUUUAUGCUACAGAAGUGACAAACACUACCUUUGGAGUUCUUGUUAUGAUUAUAGAUUCUCCUCAAGCCCCAGUGUCUCAACUCCUCUACAAAAGCAACCAUAACUACUACAGUGUGCACUAAGUUUCUCUUCUCUGAACAAAUACAUCUAAUAGGGUUCUGGAGUGUUCUGGAACUGAACAUUGUUUGUCUUCAAGAGUAACCUAAGGUACUUGCCACUCAGCAUUUACUUCAACCUUAGAGCUUAACAGACGGCCUGGUGUACGAACCAACCUGCCAUGAAUUUUAUAGUUGGAAAGAAAUUAACUCCAACAACAACAUAAGGGAGUUGGAAGUGGAUUUUUUCCCCAGUCUAGCCUCCAGAUGAGAACAAGCCCAGCCAACAACCUGAGUGCACCCUUGUGAGACUCUGAGCAGAGAAAUCGUGGAAGUCAUGCCCAGACGUCUGACUUACAGAAAUUGGAGUAGACACAAAGGAAGAGGGUAAACUUAAAUCCCCUGGUUGCCUGAGGCAAUAGGAGACAUCCACCACUGAGACUUGAAAAAGUACCCAAGAAAGCGAGAUCCGCAUUCCAAACUGCCUGAAGAAUUUUUCUGUAUUCAAGCCUGAAUGGGAUGUAGUGUCAGCUGUCUGGGUGGCUGCCUACUGCUAUGAGUUGUAAGAUUUCAGUUUCAGAAAAGGCAGUGUGGGGACUUCGCUGGUGGUGCAGUGGUUAAGAAUCCGCCUGCCAAUGCAAGGGACAUGGGUUCGAGCCCUAGUCUGGGAAGAUCCCAUAUGCCUCGGGGCAACUUAGCCCAUGUGCCACAAUUACUGAAGCCCACGCACCUAGAGCCCACCGCAACAAGAAGCCUGCGCACCUCUGUGAAGAGUAGCCCGUUUGCCACAGCUAGAGGAAGCCUGCACGCAGCGACGAAGGCCCAACGCAGUCAAAAAUAAAUAAAUUAAUUUUAAAAA